GGACAGGGAGAUGCGGACAGCGGCCCGCGCUUUCCUGGCCUAGCGCCGGUUCUCCCACUUUGCGCCCCCGUCUCCGCCUCCGCCGGGCGCCGCGCUCGGUCCUGGAGGCUCUGGUCCGAGGGCCGGGACCCGCCUGGGGACGGGGAGCCGGCGCCCGGGAGCGAAUCGAUGCUGCUGCGGCGGUGACCGCGGGUCUCGUUUUUAUUCUAUGAACCCUGCGAUCUGCCAGUGUCACACAUUGUGCUGGGCCCCGGCAGAUGAAGGCCCCCAGGCUUGUCCCAAUGGCAUGUGACACGGUGAGCAUCGGAGGGAACUCCAGAAGAGGCCUCCCUGGAGGCUGGCAGAGCACUGAUUCUGAGUCCUGUGUGGCUUCUCCACGAAGGCACCCUGGACCACUGGACCACGCUUCUGCAGACACCGGAAGAAACCGGUUUUCUAGCUGACAGCUAUUCAUCACAGUCACUGUGUGUCACGGGUUAGUGGUCCCAAAGGGCUAGACCUGGGAAAUCUAGGCAGUUGUUUUUUGUUUUGGUUUGGUUUGGUUUUUUCCACCACAAACUGAAGGCUAGCAUUUGGAUAAGAUCCUUUAAAAAAUGGUGACAAGAUGCUUUCCUGAGACCUUUGCUUCGGUGUCCUUUACAGCUUUCCUGUCUCCCCAGAUAAUGUCCUUUGUCAGUCUCCCCUUGUCUCCGUCCUCCUCCCAGCGCCUCGGAAUGUGUAUCUAUUGUUUUGCUGGUUUCCUCUUCUGGCACCUUUAGGCAGUCAUUUCCCAUCCCAUCCCAUUUUCUCGGGGGUCUUCUCCCGCCCCCUGCCCAUUUCUGUGCCGCGUUCACUUUUUCUUUUUCUGUGAAUCACAGCUCGGUCCCUCCUCUCACCUUUAUCUACAUCCUUCAUCUGUCUCUCACUCUCCUUACUUUCCUUCCUUCCAGAUGUAACAUUUCGAGUCUGUAACAUCCAGAGAUAGACAAUGGAGAACUAUCCAGCCUCCACUGCAAAUUCAUUCUUAAUCCGAUGAAAAAUGUAUCGGGAAACAAACACCUCAGUCCUUGGUUUUGGAAUUCAGCUCCCGAGGAGAAUAGUGCGGUGACAUGCGGGAGAAAUGAUCACAUCCUUGACAACGGAUUUCCAAUCACAAUCACCUGAUUUGCAGUAGAAAAAAUGUUGCCCUUACCAUUUUACUAUAAAAUGUGGCUGCUGAG
rnacentral:lncRNA from 1 species